GAACGGACGAGAAGCUUGCUUCUCUGAUGUUAGCGGCGGACGGGUGAGUAACACGUGGAUAACCUACCUAUAAGACUGGGAUAACUUCGGGAAACCGGAGCUAAUACCGGAUAAUAUUUUGAACCGCAUGGUUCAAAAGUGAAAGACGGUCUUGCUGUCACUUAUAGAUGGAUCCGCGCUGCAUUAGCUAGUUGGUAAGGUAACGGCUUACCAAGGCAACGAUGCAUAGCCGACCUGAGAGGGUGAUCGGCCACACUGGAACUGAGACACGGUCCAGACUCCUACGGGAGGCAGCAGUAGGGAAUCUUCCGCAAUGGGCGAAAGCCUGACGGAGCAACGCCGCGUGAGUGAUGAAGGUCUUCGGAUCGUAAAACUCUGUUAUUAGGGAAGAACAUAUGUGUAAGUAACUGUGCACAUCUUGACGGUACCUAAUCAGAAAGCCACGGCUAACUACGUGCCAGCAGCCGCGGUAAUACGUAGGUGGCAAGCGUUAUCCGGAAUUAUUGGGCGUAAAGCGCGCGUAGGCGGUUUUUUAAGUCUGAUGUGAAAGCCCACGGCUCAACCGUGGAGGGUCAUUGGAAACUGGAAAACUUGAGUGCAGAAGAGGAAAGUGGAAUUCCAUGUGUAGCGGUGAAAUGCGCAGAGAUAUGGAGGAACACCAGUGGCGAAGGCGACUUUCUGGUCUGUAACUGACGCUGAUGUGCGAAAGCGUGGGGAUCAAACAGGAUUAGAUACCCUGGUAGUCCACGCCGUAAACGAUGAGUGCUAAGUGUUAGGGGGUUUCCGCCCCUUAGUGCUGCAGCUAACGCAUUAAGCACUCCGCCUGGGGAGUACGACCGCAAGGUUGAAACUCAAAGGAAUUGACGGGGACCCGCACAAGCGGUGGAGCAUGUGGUUUAAUUCGAAGCAACGCGAAGAACCUUACCAAAUCUUGACAUCCUUUGACAACUCUAGAGAUAGAGCCUUCCCCUUCGGGGGACAAAGUGACAGGUGGUGCAUGGUUGUCGUCAGCUCGUGUCGUGAGAUGUUGGGUUAAGUCCCGCAACGAGCGCAACCCUUAAGCUUAGUUGCCAUCAUUAAGUUGGGCACUCUAAGUUGACUGCCGGUGACAAACCGGAGGAAGGUGGGGAUGACGUCAAAUCAUCAUGCCCCUUAUGAUUUGGGCUACACACGUGCUACAAUGGACAAUACAAAGGGCAGCGAAACCGCGAGGUCAAGCAAAUCCCAUAAAGUUGUUCUCAGUUCGGAUUGUAGUCUGCAACUCGACUACAUGAAGCUGGAAUCGCUAGUAAUCGUAGAUCAGCAUGCUACGGUGAAUACGUUCCCGGGUCUUGUACACACCGCCCGUCACACCACGAGAGUUUGUAACACCCGAAGCCGGUGGAGUAACCUUUUAGGAGCUAGCCGUCGAAGGUGGGACAAAUGAUUGGGGUGAAGUCGUAACAAGGUAGCCGUAUCGGAAGGUGCGGCUGGAUCACCUCCUUU
rnacentral:rRNA from 1 species